AGUGAACGCUGGCGGUAGGCCUAACACAUGCAAGUCGAACGGCAGCACAGUAAGAGCUUGCUCUUACGGGUGGCGAGUGGCGGACGGGUGAGGAAUAAAUCGGAAUCUUCUUUUUCGUGGGGGAUAACGUAGGGAAACUUACGCUAAUACCGCAUACGACCUACGGGUGAAAGCAGGGGAUCUUCGGACCUUGCGCGAUUGAAUGAGCCGGUGUCGGACUAGCUGGUUGGCGGGGUAAAGGCCCACCAAGGCGACGAUCCGUAGCUGAACGGAGGGGGUGACAGGCCACACUGGAACGGAGACACGGUCCAGACUCCUAGGGGAGGCAGAAGUGGGGAAUGUUGGGCAAUGGGCGAAAGCAUGACCCAGCCAUGCCGCGGGAGUGAUGAAGGCCUUCGGUUUGUAAAGCCCUUUUAUUGGGGAAGAAAAGAGGGGGAAGAAACCGCGCAUGUCUUGACGGUACCUAAAAAAAAAGCACCGGCUAACUACGUG
rnacentral:rRNA from 1 species